rnacentral:rRNA from 1 species
GACGAACGCUGGCGGCGUGCUUAACACAUGCAAGUCGAACGGAAAGGCCCCUUUGGGGGUACUCGAGUGGCGAACGGGUGAGUAACACGUGAGUAACCUGCCCUUGACUUCGGGAUAACUUCAGGAAACUGGGGCUAAUACCGGAUAGGAAUCCUUGCUGCAUGGUGGGGGUUGGAAAGCUUCGGCGGUUUUGGAUGGACUCGCGGCUUAUCAGCUUGUUGGUGGGGUAGUGGCUUACCAAGGCUUUGACGGGUAGCCGGCCUGAGAGGGCGACCGGCCACAUUGGGACUGAGAUACGGCCCAGACUCCUACGGGAGGCAGCAGUGGGGAAUAUUGCACAAUUGGCGGAAGCCUGAUGCAGCAACGCCGCGUGCGGGAUGACGGCCUUCGGGUUGUAAACCGCUUUCAGCAGGGGCGAAGCUUUUGUGACGGUACCUGCAGAAGAAGCACCGGCUAACUACGUG